rnacentral:hammerhead_ribozyme from 1 species
GCACUGCUGAGGAGGGCCACAAUAGGACGAAACGGCCGUCCAGUGC